CAAAAGAGACUGCUAAAUUCAAUUCAGAGUAAGUGGAACAGCUAACAUGGAAGUAACAUAUGGCUGUAGAUGCAGGAUCACAAAACAGAAAAAAGGAACCUUAGAGCAUACAAUGCGUGAGCUGGAGGGGGUCUUACAACACAGAAUUACAGAGUUGGAAAGCACCUCAGAUCACAGGAUGCCAGAACUGGGAGGGACCUUAGAACACGUGAUGGCAGAACUGGGAGAGAUGUUAGAGUCCAGCCUCUCAUUUUACAGAUGGAGAAACUGAGGUCAAGAAUGAUAUAACUGCUCCAGCAUGCGAGCUCUUUAAAGUUUCUCUGCAGCACGGGUCUCUUCAUCAGGAAUACUUGGAAAUCCUGUUUCUCCUUUACCCUGUAGUAUUAUACUCAGUGAGCAGCUACGUAGAUUAGAGAGCCGGACCUUGCCAGCAACCAGCGUGAUGUGUGACAGAGCGGUGAAGAAAAAAGGGGAAGGAGAACUGAAGAAAGAAAAGUCGGGUGAGGAAUACUUCGAAGCCCUCUAUUUCAUUAAAGAUCCUUUGCUGUAGGAUUAUCCUAACUUUUGCUGGGUCCAGUGUUCUAUGCAUUGCGACACCGACGUGCAUCUAAAGAGGAAAAAUCACUGUGGACUGGGGUGGUGAAGCUUCCUGGAGAAGUCUGAACUUGAGCUGAACCUUGAAGUGUGGAGAGGAAGAGGAGACCAUUUAAAGUUAAAGGAAAAGCCUGCGUAAAGGAAUGGAGGGAAGAAAGGAUAUGACAUAUGUGGAGCACAGCAUCUGUUUGGCUGAAGUAUGCCAGGUACGGAAAGGGGAGCAUGAGGAGAUAAAUAUAGUGGGGAGCAGCCUGUACAGGCAAAGGAAUCUGGACCUUAUUCUACAGGCCAAGAAGAGCCACUGACAACUUUUAAGCAGAUUAAAAACAAUCAAUUUCACCUGUGUCAAAGCAUUUAGGUCUAUUUUUAACCAGGGGUCUCCAAAGCCCAAAUCCCCUAAAGACUUUCAAUUUGCUGAACAAGGCCAUCUGUCCCUUCAGGGCCAAUGACCAAGGGUGUAGCCCUGCAGAGGAAAGGGAGGACGUAAAUCAUUCACCAGUCCCCCACCCCCUGCCACUUACCUUCUAAUCCUGCCCAUGUUCAGCCCAUGUUCCACCCAGACCUUACAAAGAAAAGAGGACACCUUCCACCUUAUUCUGUCUGGGAGAGGAGUGGAGAUCAGAUCCAGCAGGAGAGGUAGAAGAGGCAGAAAGCACUGGGUUUGAGGCCCAGCUUUGGCACUGGGCUACACAGCCAUUUGAGUCUAUUCCAUCUGUAAAAUGAUGCUUAUAGAAUGAGAUAACUUCUUUGCUUAAUUUUGUUCUCAGCUAUCAGUCCCUUCCAGCUUUAACCUUCUAUGUUGAAAGGGCCAUUCCCAUCUGUGGCAUUCUGGACAUGAGACAGGUGAUUGCAGCUGUAGCUGGCCUUGCUUACAUUAAGAAUAUGUGCUAGGUCAGGGCAGCUAGGUGGCACACUGGAUAGAGCUCUGGCCUUGGAGUCA